UACAGGGGGUGCAAACGUUGCUCGGAAUCAUUGGGCGUAAAGCGCACGUAGGCGGUUCGUUAUGUCGGAUGUGAAAGCCCUUGGCUUAACCGAGGAAGUGCAUCCGAAACUGGCGAGCUAGAGUACUAAAGAGGAUCGCGGAAUUCCCGGUGUAGAGGUGAAAUUCGUAGAUAUCGGGAGGAACACCGGUGGCGAAGGCGGUUCUCUGGGAAUAUCCCGACGCUGAGGAGCGAAAGUGUGGGGAGCGAACAGG
rnacentral:rRNA from 1 species